rnacentral:snoRNA from 1 species
AUGCCAUGGUGAGGACAAGCCAUGAGAUACUCCUGGAGCCUCUCCCAUGCUUCUGGAAUUGACUCAUUGUUGGCCUGUUGGAAACUCGAGAUUCUCCCGUGAAAGGCGU